GUGGGGAAUAUUGCACAAUGGGGGAAACCCUGAUGCAGCGACGCCGCGUGAGUGAAGAAGUAUUUCGGUACGUAAAGCUCUAUCAGCAAGGAAGAAAAUGACGGUACUUGACUAAGAAGCCCCGGCUAACUACGUGCCAGCAGCCGCGGUAAUACGUAGGGGGCAAGCGUGAUCCGGAUUUACUGGGUGUAAAGGGAGCGUAGACGGUAUGGUAAGUCAGAUGUGAAAGCCCGGGGCUCAACCCCGGGACUGCAUUUGAAACUAUCAGACUAGAGUGCAGGAGAGGUAAGGGGAAUUCCUAGUGUAGCGGUGAAAUGCGUAGAUAUUAGGAGGAACACCAGUGGCGAAGGCGGCUUACUGGACUGUAACUGACGUUGAGGCUCGAAAGCGUGGGGAGCAAACAGGAUUAGAAACCCCAGUAGUCC
rnacentral:rRNA from 1 species